GUCAUAGAUCAGUGGCAGAGCUCUUGCCUUGCAUGCAGAAGGUCUUGGGUUCAAAUCCCAGCAUCAAACA